UGUUGCUCCCAGAGCUCUCAGGGCCUCUGCCACUGCCUGAGGACAGAGACCAGAGCUGCGUUUCCAGCAGGUUCUGCCGCCCUCCCCAGGGGAGACCUUGGGAGCCUUGCAGCAACUUGGUGUCUCCUGAGUCGCCAGAGAGAAGCUGCCUUGUUGCAGACCCGUGGAUCGAGGGGUCUCACGACAUCACAUCAUGGAUGCCAUGGAUGGUUUGCUCCAGAUUCAGGCUGGUUUCCAGGGAGAAAUCCUGACAGAAAUUCAGAAGACCAGGAGCUGCUUUCAGUUAGGAUGUGAAUACAUGAAAUAUUCGUCUCAGGACCUUCUAGAAGAAUGAGCUGGGACCCACUUUGCGAGUCCUGCUGGAACCAAAGACCGAGGAGAUAUAUCAACAAAGGCGUGUGUACAGCCAUCGUCAAAGAAGAUACUGCCUGUGUUACCCUCUGG